GCUGGAAAAGAAGCAUGGUGAAUAUUUGAACGGUCGUCAGAUUUCACUUUAUAUGGCUGAUUUCAACAAAGCUGCAUACCUUCUGCCCAAGUAUUGCAAAGAAUACGACUCUCACUCUCAUUUUGAACACUACCUUCGACGAGAAAGCCUCCUGAUAGAAGAAGAUGAUGCAUACGGAGGAUUUG